rnacentral:lncRNA from 1 species
AGUGUUGAUUUUAUGGAAUAAAUCUAUAUUUCAUUCAUUACUUAAUAGAGAUACAAGCCUAUAUAUACCAUAGAGAAAUACACUUAAGGAAAUAAUAUCAAAUAAUAUCUCCAGAAUAAUAUCUCCUAACAAUAAUAUCUCCUAAGAAUAAUCUAAUUAUAUUAAUACCCUCCCUCAAACUCAAGGUUGAAAUCACAAACUUGAGUUUGCUAAGAACUAAGAAAAGAAACAAUAUAUCUAGAAUAGAAUAAAAACCCGAAGAACAAACACACAAAGAACUUCUAGGCUAAAACAAACCCACGAAGAGCGAAACGAAGAACUUCUGGGAUAGAAACAUAGAUCCUCGUAUAGAGAUCUAUAACAGAACCUAGGAAGAACGAAACAAGAACUUCGGGGGCAAAAUGAAAGAGCAAAACUGAAGCAAAGUAGAAUCAAAGCUGGACGAAAACAGGGUCGGAAUUGGACAGAAGUGUUUUGUCGGAUCAGAUGGAACUGAACGAACUAAACUAGAGCAAGUCAGAAUCAGAUUAAACGGGAAAUCUGGGGCGAACAGAACGGAAACUGAACUGAAUGGAGCAGAGAGGCUUAGCGGAUCUGAACAAAAACAGAAUGGAGGCGUCGUUGGAUCUGGGCUUCGAUCUAAACUUCAAAGGCAGACAUGAAGAAUGGGUCUGAACGAAAUCAGACAGGUCUGGAACAGAUUGGAGGCGGACGCGAGGAUCUGAGGACAUGGGGUUUCAUGGGUUUUGUCGAGACAACAUAAGAAGAUGGAGCAACGACAACGAAACGCAGCGGCGAGCGGAGCUUCUUGGACGACGGACAAAACCGAAACUCUUCGGCUGGGCGUUCGGCUUCAACUGGUAGAGGUUCAAUCGGCUGCUUGGCUAACAGAAAAACAAGAGGUCGGACGAAGAACUAUGAAGGAGAUGGCCGCCGCGGACGCUAGUGAAAAACAAAUGGGGUUUCUGGGGUUUGGAUAGUGGCAGAUUUGAACAGCAAUGAGUGGCAAAGGGAAGGUGCAACGACAACGGCAGAUUUGCAGAUCUAAGGGGUGGCUUCGGCUAAUGGGAGAUGAUUUUGCCUCCGUUGAUGGCUAAUGAGAGAUGAUUCUGCCUCCGUUGAUGAAUGAUCAACGGAGGCAGGGGUGUGGAGGCUAGAAUUCCAUAAAAAAAAAAAAAAUUUAAUAUCAAAUAAUAUCUCCAGAAUAAUAUCUCCUCAGAAUAAUCUAAUUAUAUUAAUACCCUCUAUCAAACUCAAAGUUGAAAUCACAAACUUGAGUUUGCUAAGAACUAAGAAAAGAAACAAUAUAUCUAGAAUAGAAUAAAAAACCCGAAGAACAAAAACAGACAAAGAACUUCUAGGUUAAAACAAACCCACGAAAAACUUACGGGAUAGAAACAUAGAUCCUCGUAUAGAGAUCUAUAACAGAACCUAGGAAGAACGAAACAAGAACUUUGGGGGGCAAAAUGAAAGAGCAAAACUGAAGCAAAGUAGAAUCAAAGCUGGACGAAAACAGGGUCGGAAUUGGAUAGAAGUGUUUUGUCGGAUCAAAAUGGAACCGAACGAACUAAACUAGAGCAAGUCAGAAUCAGAUUAAACAGGAAAUCUGGGGCGAACAGAACGGAAACUGAACUGAAUGGAGCAGAGAGGCUUAGCGGAUCUGAACAAAAACAGAAACGAGGCGUCGUUGGAUCUAGGCUUCGAUCUAAACUUUGAAGGCAGACAUGAAGGAUGGGUCUGAACGAAAUUAGACAGAUCUGGAACAGAUUGGAGGCAGACGCGAGGAUCUGAGGACAUGGGGUUUCAUGGUUUUGUUGGGACAGCGUAAGGAGAUGGAGCAACGGCAACGAAACGCAGCGGCGAGCGGAGCUUCUUGGACGACGGAAAAAACUGAAACUCUUCGGUUGGGCGUUCGGCUUCAACUGACAGAGGGUUGCUUGGCUAACGGAAAAACAAGAGGUCGGACGAAGAACUAUGAAGGAGAUGGCCGCCGCAGACGCUAGUGAAAAACGAAUGGGGUUUCUGGGGUUUGGAUGGUGGCAGAUUUGAACAGCAAUGAGUGACAAAGGGAAGGUGCAACGACAACGGCAAAUUUGCAGAUCUAAGGGGCAGCUUCAGCUAAUGGGAGAUGAUUCUGCCUCCGUUGAUGAAUGAUCAACGGAGGCAGAGAUCAAACGGGAUGUGGAGGCUAGAAUUCAAUAAGGCGAAAACCCUAGAGCUCUGAUACCAUGUUGAUUUUAUGGAAUAAAUCUAUAUUUCAUUCAUUACUUAAUAGAGAUACAAGCCUAUAUAUACCAUAGAGAAAUACACUUAAGGAAAUAAUAUCAAAUAAUAUCUCCAGAAUAAUAUCUCCAGAAUAAAAUCUCCUAACAAUAAUAUCUCCUAAGAAUAAUCUAAUUAUAUUAAUA